rnacentral:rRNA from 1 species
ACAGCAGCCGCCGCGGUAAUACAGAGGGUGCGAGCGUUAAUCGGAUUUACUGGGCGUAAAGCGUGCGUAGGCGGCUUUUUAAGUCGGAUGUGAAAUCCCCGGGCUCAACCUGGGAACUGCAUUUGUGACUGUAGAGCUGGAGUGCGGCAGAGGGGGAUGGAAUUCCGCGUGUAGCAGUGAAAUGCGUAGAUAUGCGGAGGAACACCGAUGGCGAAGGCAAUCCCCUGGGCCUGCACUGACGCUCAUGCACGAAAGCGUGGGGAGCAAACAGGAUUAGAUACCCCCGUAGUCCCUGUCUCUUAUAC